rnacentral:tRNA from 1 species
GGUAGAGCAUGAGACUCUUAAUCUCAGGGUCAUGGGUUUGAGCCCCAUGUUGGGUG